AGUCUUAUAGUCAAUAAUGACAUUAAAUUGCAAAUUUAAAAGAGUAAAUUUUACUAAGGCUU
rnacentral:tRNA from 1 species